rnacentral:rRNA from 1 species
UACGUAGGUGGCAAGCGUUGUCCGGAUUUAUUGGGUUUAAAGGGUGCGUAGGCGGUCAUGUAAGUCAGCGGUGAAAUCCGGCAGCUCAACUGUCGAUGUGCCAUUGAUACUGCAUGACUUGAGUACUGAUGAGGUAGGCGGAAUUGACGGUGUAGCGGUGAAAUGCUUAGAUAUCGAUCAAGAACACCGAUAGCGAAAGGCAGCUUACUAAGCAGUAACUGACGCUGAGGCACGAAAGUGUGGGGAUCAAACAGG